AAACAGUACAUAUAUGUACUGAAAGAAAGCUGGAAACGAAAGAGAGAAGGAGAAAGAAAGAGAGGUGGGAAGGAGGAGAAAGAAGAAGAAGGAGAGAAAGAGAGAGGAAAAGAAGGAAGAAGAGAAAGAAUGAAUGAGGCCGACCACUUUUGCUGAAGAUGAUGCUUUUCAGACAGAAGUCAGAGAAAACUGUGUGACUUAGGCAUCAUCACCAGGGAUGUUAAGCAGGCUGGCCCAUUGCAAGAGCCAUGGAGU
rnacentral:lncRNA from 10 species